rnacentral:lncRNA from 1 species
AUUCAUUGACCAUUAUUAGUUUUAUUUGGUUGUUGACAUUUUGGUUAUUUGUUUGUUAAAGGUCGAUUUCUUCACUAGGUCCAAAUUGUUGAGCUAAACUUAGUUGUUUAUUAUGAACUUGCCUACUUUGUUGAUUCGUUAAUUUAAUUUAUCACUUUAUCGCAGGUUUAUUAUGUCAAACACACGAGGCAAAUCUAAG